CGGGGGCGGCCGGAUCCUGGGCUGUGUCCCGGUGCCCUGUCCUCUGGGGCCUGCGCUGUUGGAUUCGGCUCCUGGCCGCACAGCCCCCU
rnacentral:pre_miRNA from 1 species